rnacentral:lncRNA from 1 species
CUGAGAAUAAAAUGUUAAAACUGAUACUACAUUUGUAGUUAACAAAUCUAAAUGACGAGUAUAUCCCACGUCUACUUAUACUUCAUAGUUAUUAUCACAACUUCAAAUGUAUAUCGACAAAACAAUAGAGUGACAUCUGUUUGCUUUCAAUACAAAAAAAAUGAAAGCAAACAGAUGUCACAAUAAUGGAAACGCAUACAUGUAUAUGCGAUUAAGUGCGAGGGGCAAACACAAUAAUAGCUGUGGUAUAAACUGUGCAAUAGUGUUUUUACUUUUAUCAAACAAAGUUCGCUGGUUUAACUACUAAAAUCAUAGAUUAAGAUUCCCC